rnacentral:lncRNA from 1 species
UCUAUGUAUAAAGUUAAUUUUGUCUUUCUUUAAAAUUUGUUCCAUAAUUUUUUUUUGUUUUACCUUAUUGCAACUUACAAUAAUAUAUAUAGUAAUUGGCACCACAUAUUAAUUUAUUACUGUAAUUUUUUUCUGCUUUUUGAUUAAAUAUCAAAUACUUAUUAUAGAUUGCCCAAUGAUUAUGCCCAAAGGGAACAAUGGGUUUCAUUAAUGGAAAUCAACACAUUUAAAAAGAACAUAUUUGUUUGUUCAGAUCACAUCCUUAGAAGUGAUAUAAGGGAGAUAAUAUUAUCAGUAGCCAGACUUUAUUAAAAAAAUCAGCUCUACCUCAAAGGAUUUCUGAUGCACUGGUUAAAAACACAGCAGCCAAUAAUUCAGUUAAUUUACCAAGUGAUUUACCCUUCAAAGCUACAGGGGUAGCUUUCCUGAAGAGUGCAAAAACUUCUUUAGCUUUCAAAAUGGUAUAUAGUACAAACAGUGAAGCUAAUAUAGACACAUCUGAUCAUUCAUCAUCAACAAUAACUGCAUCUGAGAAUUAUAGUUCUACAGUAACCGUGGAGUCUAGGUCAACAAUUACUAUUUCUCAUCCAAGCCGUUUUUGUUUAACUGCUACACAUUCCCUGACUCUGCCAAGGAAAAGGGUAAAAUCAAAAUGAUAUCCUGAGGACCUAAGCACUGAUGAUUCCACCGUUUCAAGAGCUUAAUCACUUGUCACCAGAUUAUGG